rnacentral:rRNA from 1 species
AACGAACGCUGGCGGCAUGCCUAACACAUGCAAGUCGAACGAGACCUUCGGGUCUAGUAGCGCACGGGUGCGUAACGCGUGGGAACCUGCCCUUAGGUUCGGAAUAACUCCCCGAAAGGGGUGCUAAUACCGGAUAAUGUCUUCGGACCAAAGAUUUAUCGCCUUUGGAUGGGCCCGCGUUGGAUUAGCUAGUUGGUAGGGUAAAAGCCUACCAAGGCGACGAUCCAUAGCUGGUCUGAGAGGAUGAUCAGCCACACUGGGACUGAGACACGGCCCAGACUCCUACGGGAGGCAGCAGUGGGGAAUAUUGGACAAUGGGCGAAAGCCUGAUCCAGCAAUGCCGCGUGAGUGAUGAAGGCCUUAGGGUUGUAAAGCUCUUUUACCCGGGAUGAUAAUGACAGUACCGGGAGAAUAAGCUCCGGCUAACUCCGCG